UACAGAGGGUGCGAGCGUUAAUCGGAAUUACUGGGCGUAAAGCGUGCGUAGACGGUCAAGUAAGUCGGGUGUGAAAGCCCCGGGCUCAGCCUGGGAAUUGCAUUCGAGACUGCGUGGCUAGGGUGCGGAAGAGGGAAGCGGAAUUUCCGGUGUAGCGGUGAAAUGCGUAGAUAUCGGAAGGAACACCAGUGGCGAAAGCGGCUUCCUGGUCCAGCACCGACGUCAGGCACGAAAGCGUGGGGAGCAAACAGG
rnacentral:rRNA from 1 species